rnacentral:misc_RNA from 1 species
GUGAUGUCCAUUUCCUCUCUAAAAGGCGGGGUGACUUUAAUUUUUUGAUUUUUAUCUGUAUUUCUUUUGUGGUAGUCUGUCUUUUUCUUCUUUGAUGUUACUGAUGUCCAUGUUAUUCCCAUUUGACUUCAAUUCAUGCCCACCAAGCCAUCCUUCCAUAAUCUCCUUCACAAUUCCAUUUCCUUCUUACAAGAAUGGUUUCUUUUGUAUUUUUAUCAAUUAAUAUCCAAUACUAUCACCAUAUUCAAGAACCAAA